GCUCCAUCAGUUAAAGUAUUUAGGGUCAAUUAAUGGAACGUAGCCAUUUAUUUCUGCUUUUACACUAAUCAAGUGGUACUCUUCAUCUGAAGAGUGAUGUACAGGUUGCUACGUCUCUGCUUUUCACAUAAUGAUUGACUUGAAUACCCACUCAUGAACCUAAAACACUUAAAGAGAGCUUUGCCCAUCCUCUUUGCUUUUUGAAAUCAUUGAUGCCCUUGUGUGUAAUUACCUGCUACUUAAUCCAUUUCAGGAACCUUUGUAUAAGAGCUGGUUGCAAAAAGACUCACAAUUGAAUAAUUAACCUCUGGCACGUGACAUUUCCUUGGUGAAAGAGGCUAGAACCCUAAACAAUAGGAAGUCAUGGAGACCUCCAAUGAAUCUCCGUCAACCAUUCGCUGUGUCUGUAGAUAGUGGAGAUUUAUGGGAUUUGUAGUUCAAUAAAAAAAAUAUAUAUUUUACCAGGCAUAAGAGUUGUUUUUUAUAUGGUGGGAGUUAUUUUUACAAAGCAACGUUGGGAAGUAAUCAUCUUGAAAACCAUUGGAAUGUUCUUGCCGAUUGUUCCCAUUUCAGAACUUUGCCUGAGAAGUGAUGUCUAUAUGUAACCAGAAUUGUCUCUAACACCCAAAUAGUUAAUAAUACAAUAAUAAUUGUUAUAAUUAAUGGAGCGUCCAUCGUGCUACUUAGCCAAGACCACCAGUAGUAGUCAAACUAAGGACAUUCGAAGCAUUUUUAACUGGACAUGUGUCAGAUGCACCUCCUGAAAUCUCUGAUGUUCUGACACUGAUCCGGACUGUCAAGGACCAUUGUAAGGUUCUAUUAAAACUCUAUACAGUCUUCUGUACAGCACAGACAUACGUGACACUUCACAAACCCACAUGUGUAGUAUUUGUUUUACUAGAUUCAUAGAGAAUCCAGGGAUUGGUUGAAAUGUCUCUAUCCUGUUUGAAGUGGGCAUAAAAGAUGGAGGAUCAGAACAUGAGGGUUUGCAG